rnacentral:rRNA from 2 species
AAACUUUCAACAACGGAUCUCUUGGUUCCGGCAUCGAUGAAGAACGCAGCGAAAUGCGAUAAGUAAUGUGAAUUGCAGAAUUCCGUGAAUCAUCGAAUCUUUGAACGCACAUUGCGCCCCCUGGUAUUCCGGGGGGCAUGCCUGUUCGAGCGUCAUUGCAAACCCCUCAAGCACGGCUU